rnacentral:rRNA from 1 species
CAGCAGCCGCGGGAAUACGUAGGGUGCAAGCGUUAAUCGGAAUUACUGGGCGUAAAGCGUGCGCAGGCGGUUAUAUAAGUCAGAUGUGAAAUCCCCGGGCUCAACCUGGGAACUGCAUUUGAGACUGUAUGGCUAGAGUGUGUCAGAGGGGGGUAGAAUUCCACGUGUAGCAGUGAAAUGCGUAGAUAUGUGGAGGAAUACCGAUGGCGGAGGCAGCCCCCUGGGAUAACACUGACGCUCAUGCACGAAAGCGUGGGGAGCAAACAGGAUUAGAUACCCGCGUAGUCCCUGUCUCUUAUAC